rnacentral:rRNA from 1 species
CCUACGGGAGGCAGCAGUAGGGAAUCUUCCGCAAUGGACGAAAGUCUGACGGAGCAACGCCGCGUGAACGAUGAAGGCCUUCGGGUCGUAAAGUUCUGUUGUUAGGGAAGAACAAGUGCUAGUUAAAUAAGCUGGCACCUUGACGGUACCUAACCAGAAAGCCACGGCUAACUACGUGCCAGCAGCCGCGGUAAUACGUAGGUGGCAAGCGUUGUCCGGAAUUAUUGGGCGUAAAGCGCGCGCAGGCGGUUUCUUAAGUCUGAUGUGAAAGCCCCCGGCUCAACCGGGGAGGGUCAUUGGAAACUGGGAAACUUGAGUGCAGAAGAGGAAAGUGGAAUUCCAAGUGUAGCGGUGAAAUGCGUAGAGAUUUGGAGGAACACCAGUGGCGAAGGCGACUUUCUGGUCUGUAACUGACGCUGAGGCGCGAAAGCGUGGGGAGCAAACAGGAUUAGAUACCCUGGUAGUCCACGCUGUAAACGAUGAGUGCUAAGUGUUAGAGGGUUUCCGCCUUUAGUGCUGAAGUUACGCAUUAAGCACUCCGCCGUGGGUAGGUACGGUCGCGAGACUAGAACUACAANAGAAGUUAGUACGGCGUGAGACGUGCCGACGGACGACGACGAGGGAGGUAGG